CGGACGUGUUUGUGGCUAACUUUAUAUUCUGUAAAAAAAAAAGCAAUUUUAUUUAAAAUGGAAUAGCAAUUUCGGCAGAAUAUGUUAUGGUAGUUAAGUAAAGUUUAUUUGCUGUGUAUUUUUCUUGAUGCGACGCUCGGAACUGCAUCAUCUACUGCCUGGAUUUUUGCCUACAACUGCUCCUGCUGCGUUCGCUUAAUCAACGCAAACAUGAAUAGAAAGACUGUGCCUGUCUCUUUAUCAACCUUAAGACAAAGGACACGUGUAGACGUUCAAAAAAGGCUUCAUCAUUGUGGCAUGCAAAUUCAUAAAUUUCUUGUUUAAAA